AGGUCCAGGGAGAGUAUGUGUGUGUGUGUGCAUGGCCAGAGCAGACCUUGUCCCCAAGGCCAGGCCAUGGGGUGAACAUCAGCACCAGUUCCGGGGCCGCGCUAACCUGCAUGUGUUUGAAGACUGGUGUGGCAGCUCUAUCCAGCAGCUCAGGAGGAACCUGCAUUUCCCACUGUACCCCCAUAUUCGCACAACCCUGAGGAAGCUUGCUGUGUCCCCCAAAUGGACCAACUAUGGCCUCCGCAUCUUUGGCUACCUGCACCCCUUUACUGAUGGCUGCUGCUUUGCUCCCUGGUUUGCAGCCUGGAACCAGGUCAUCUCUCUAUAUAAGUCUUUUCCAUCUUCACACUGUCUCCCAGGAUGUAGAAACCCCCACUUGACAGAGAGGGAAGCCACAGCAUCAAGCCCUGAAGGGAAUUUAAUCGCUAAGACACUCACAAAAGCCUCCAGCUUUUAUGCUGAUGCCCUCCUUGCCCUCAUCUGGAAACUCUCCCCGCUGCCCAGGGAAAAUCCAGUUUGCCAUUGCUGCAGAUGACAACG
rnacentral:sRNA from 1 species